AUGUAGGACUGGAGAAUCGUAGGUCGUGGGUUCGAUCCCGCUUGUCU
rnacentral:tRNA from 14 species